rnacentral:rRNA from 1 species
GACGAACGCUGGCGGCGUGCUUAACACAUGCAAGUCGAACGGAAAGGCCCUGCUUUUUUGGGGUGCUCGAGUGGCGAACGGGUGAGUAACACGUGAGUAACCUGCCCUUGACUUUGGUAUAACUUCAGGAAACUGGGGCUAAUACCGGAUAGGAGCUCCUGCUGCAUGGUGGGGGUUGGAAAGUUUCGGCGGUUGGGGAUGGACGCGCGGCUUAUCAGCUUGUUGGUUGGGUAGUGGCUUACCCAGGCUUUGACGGGUAGCCGGCCUGAGAGGGUGAACGGCCACAUUGGGACUGAGAUACGGACCAGACUCCUACGGGAGGCAGCGGUGGGGAAUAUUGCACAAUGGGCGGAAGCCUGAUGCAGCAACGCUGCGUGCGGGAUGACGGCCUUCGGGUUGUAAACCGCUUUCGCCUGUGACGAAGCGUGAGUGACGGUAAUGGGUAAAGAAGCACCGGCUAACUACGUG